rnacentral:lncRNA from 1 species
UACAGUUGGUGGUGGCAGGCACCAUAAUAAUUCAGAAUAUUGGAGCUAUGUCAUCUUAUCUUUUAAUUAUUAAAACAGAGCUUCCUGCUGCUAUUGCAGAAUUUUUGACUGGAGACUAUAGUAGGUAAGAAAAAGUAUUUUACAUUGUGUCCGUUCAUGUAUUAAUUUGAUAAAUAUGUAUUAAGCUGUAAAUGGCAAUACUUGUAGUGGCAGGUAAAAUAAAUGUAGUCCUUGCCCUCAAGACAGUUACAAAUUAGGCAGAAGUGAAGCAGUAAUAGAAUAGAAACUACUCAGCCAAUGUUUGAUUACCCAUAUGAAAGCGCUGUUCUGUGAACCAUAUGAAGCACCAGAUAUAAUCCUUGCAUUCCUUGGGGGUGUGAGAUAGGCUAAGACAGGUCUGAGAUUGAGAUGCUCUUAAGGAGGAAUAAAGGGUAAAUUUCUGGGGAUAUGCAAGACACAGGUUGGGGAUGGGAGAAGGUUGAAUAUACUGACAGUACGGGUCUUAAACAAAGGAGGGGAGUGAAUGAUAUUGCUGUCAUUUCUCAGCAAAUCAUAGUGAUAAAAAAUGUGGCAGUUACAACUAUACCUGUUUGAAAUUCCUAUUAUAUACCAUGGCAAAAAAAUAAAUUAUUUGCAAGGA